AGUAAAAUGCCUGAAUUUUAAAGGAUUAUCUUGAUAGGAUAAAUUAUGUAUUUAAAUACUUUUACUA
rnacentral:tRNA from 1 species